GCCCUUAUAGCUCAGCGGUAGAGCGUAGCACUCGUAAUGCUAAGGUCGUCGGUUCAAUCCCGACUGGGGGCA
rfam:Aspergillus rambellii strain SRRC1468 contig00358, whole genome shotgun sequence.